UAAUACGAAGGGGGCUAGCGUUGUUCGGAUUUACUGGGCGUAAAGCGCGUGUAGGCGGGCUUGUAAGUUGGGGGUGAAAUCCCGAGGCUCAACCUCGGAACUGCCUCCAAAACUGCAAGCCUGGAGCAAGAUAGAGGCAAGUGGAAUUGCGAGUGUAGAGGUGAAAUUCGUAGAUAUUCGCAGGAACACCAGUGGCGAAGGCGACUUGCUGGAUCUUUGCUGACGCUGAGACGCGAAAGCGUGGGGAGCAAACAGG
rnacentral:rRNA from 1 species